UACGUAGGCAGCAAGCGUUGUUCGGAGUUACUGGGCGUAAAGGGUGCGUAGGUGGCUCUAUAAGUAUGGUGUGAAAUCUCCCGGCUUAACUGGGAGGGUGCGCCGUAGACUGUGGGGCUAGAGUGUGGGAGAGGAAAGUGGAAUUCCUGGUGUAGCGGUGAAAUGCGUAGAUAUCAGGAGGAACACCUGUGGUGUAGACGGCUUUCUGGACCAUAGCUGACGCUGAGACACGAAAGCGUGGGUAGCAAACAGG
rnacentral:rRNA from 1 species